rnacentral:lncRNA from 1 species
UGUUGUCAUCCAAAUACAACACCCGAAGAAACUUGAAAGCUGCUUCUUUUGGAAGCUCCAAAUCCUCAUAGGAGGACCGGCUUGUCCCGAGGUACCUCAAAUGAAGUAAAUCUCCAAUAUGCUCAUAGAAGGGUAAACGAUGAAAGAUGCUCUCCAAAUAUAGCACGCGUAAGAGUUUAAAGCUCCGAAACUGGACCCUUGGAACAGAAUGGCGCAUAAAAGCAAAGAAAGACCAUGCUCGUGCUGUGUCCGUAUGAUUGUUCAGAGGAGCAUCAUUGUGGAGAGCUAACCUACGUGCAUUGCUUCCUAACAAUGUGUCUUCAGUACGGUUGUCGAAUACCAUGGCAAAGUUUGCUUCACGGGACAAGGAACGGAUG